rnacentral:rRNA from 1 species
AAAUUGAAAGAUCACGUAUACAGCCUGACACCUGCCCGGUGCUGGAAGGUUAAGAGGAGAUGUCAUCGCAAGAGAAGCAUUGAAUUGAAGCCCCAGUAAACGGCGGCCGUAACUAUAACGGUCCUAAGGUAGCGAAAUUCCUUGUCAGGUAAGUUCUGACCCGCACGAAAGGCGUAACGAUUUGGGCGCUGUCUCAGCUGUAGACUCGGUGAAGUCUUAGUACCUGUGAAGAUGCAGGUUACCCGCGACUAGACGGAAAGACCCCAUGGAGCUUUACUGUAGCUUGAUAUUGGACUUUGAUGCAAGAUGUACAGGAUAGGUAGGAGACUGAGAGACAUGCACGCCAGUGUGUGAGGAGUCAAUGUUGGGAUACUACUCUUCUUGUAUUGGAGUUCUAACCGGAUGCCAUGGAACUGGCAACGGGACAGUGUCAGGUGGGCAGUUUGACUGGGGCGGUCGCCUCCCAAAGAGUAACGGAGGCGCCCAAAGAUACCCUCAGCUUGGAUGGAAAUCAAGCGCAGAGUGCAAAGGCAUAAGGGUGUUUGACUGCGAGACCUACAAGUCGAGCAGGGACGAAAGUCGGGCUUAGUGAUCCGGCGGUGCUGAAUGGAAAGGCCGUCGCUCAACGGAUAAAAGCUACCCUGGGGAUAACAGGCUGAUCUCCCCCAAGAGUUCACAUCGACGGGGAGGUUUGGCACCUCGAUGUCGGCUCAUCGCAUCCUGGAGCUGAAGUCGGUUCCAAGGGUUGGGCUGUUCGCCCAUUAAAGCGGUACGCGAGCUGGGUUCAGAACGUCGUGAGACAGUUCGGUCCCUAUCUGUCGUGGGCGUAGGAAGUUUGAGAAGAUCUGUCCUCAGUACGAGAGGACCGGGAUGGACAUAUCAAUGGUGCACCAGUUGUCACGCCAGUGGCACAGCUGGGUAGCUAAAUAUGGAAGGGAUAAACGCUGAAGGCAUCUAAGUGUGAAACCCACUUCAAGAUGAGACUUCCCAUUACGCAAGUAAGUAAGACCCCUUAAAGACGAUAAGGUUGAUAGGUCAGGAGUGUAAGCAUGGCGACAUGUUCAGCGGACUGAUACUAAUAGGUCGAGGACUUAACCU